rnacentral:rRNA from 1 species
GACGUAGGGAGCGAGCGUUGUCCGGAUUCAUUGGGCGUAAAGAGCGCGCAGGCGGUUUGGUAAGUCGGAUGUGAAAACCCGGGGCUCAACCCCGGGCGUGCAUCCGAUACUGCCCGACUAGAGGUAGGUAGGGGAGAUCGGAAUUCCUGGUGUAGCGGUGAAAUGCGCAGAUAUCAGGAGGAACACCGGUGGCGAAGGCGGAUCUCUGGGCCAUUACUGACGCUGAGGAGCGAAAGCGUGGGGAGCGAACAGG